rnacentral:rRNA from 1 species
AUACGGAGGGGGUUAGCGUUGUUCGGAAUUACUGGGCGUAAAGCGCACGUAGGCGGACUGGAAAGUUGGGGGUGAAAUCCCGGGGCUCAACCCCGGAACUGCCUCCAAAACUUCCAAGCUAGAGAUCGAGAGAGGUGAGUGGAAUUCCAAGUGUAGAGGUGAAAUUCGUAGAUAUUUGGAGGAACACCAGUGGCGAAGGCGGCUCACUGGCUCGAUACUGACGCUGAGGUGCGAAAGCGUGGGGAGCAAACAGGAUUAGAUACCCUAGUAGUCC